rnacentral:lncRNA from 11 species
GAUUUGAUUGAAACCAUAUUCUCUGAAAGUGAAAGCUCUCCGGGGUUGGGAGGGAUUGCGCCUGCUGUUCCUUUAAAGCUUCGUCAAAGCUACUCGCAUGUGGAUCUUCUUGGCAAAUGUGGGAGGAAGUGCAACCGCAGCCUGUUCUGGAACAAAUUUGAGGCAGCUGAAUUGAGGUCGCGGUGGGUUUUCAACAUCCCAUUCUCGUGGGUUUCGCUCAUGUAUCGGGGGGAAAGGUUACGGAGCCAUUUGGAGAGGUUGCAUCGGGAUUCGGAAGAGAAUGGCUCAUUUCUUUUUAACUCUGUGAUGGUGCCUCGGCUUAUAUUUGGGUCGGCUUAUACUUGAGUAUAUACGGUAUUUAUUUUUCAAAAAAAGGAGGGAGAGAAAAGAAAGAAAUCCAACUGUUUAUUCCAUUCCUAGCGUUGACGUUGAUAUUGCUAGACAUGUUUGACAAGGGGGGGAAAGGUUUGUUGAACGUACCGUGUUUCCCCGAAAAUAAGACCGUGUCUUAUAUUAUUUUUUACUCCCAA